rnacentral:rRNA from 1 species
GUCCACGCCUUAAACUAUGAGAGCUAGUUGUUAGUAAGCAUGCUUAUUGUUGACGCAGCUAACGCAUUAAGCUCUCCGCCUGGGGAGUACGGCCGCAAGGUUAAAACUCAAAGAAAUUGACGGGGGCCCGCACAAGCGGUGGAGCAUGUGGUUUAAUUCGAAGCAACGCGAAGAACCUUACCCACUUUUGACAUCCUGUGUUACCUGGAGAGAUCCAGGGUCCCUUCGGGGCACAGAGACAGGUGCUGCAUGGCUGUCGU